UCGUUUAGAUUGAAGGAGCUUGCUCCUGAUUGAUAAACAUUUGAGUGAGUGGCGGACGGGUGAGUAACACGUGGGUAACCUGCCCUAAAGUGGGGGAUAACAUUUGGAAACAGAUGCUAAUACCGCAUAAAACCUAACACCGCAUGGUGUAGGGUUGAAAGAUGGUUUCGGCUAUCACUUUAGGAUGGACCCGCGGUGCAUUAGUUAGUUGGUGAGGUAAAGGCUCACCAAGACCGUGAUGCAUAGCCGACCUGAGAGGGUAAUCGGCCACACUGGGACUGAGACACGGCCCAGACUCCUACGGGAGGCAGCAGUAGGGAAUCUUCCACAAUGGACGAAAGUCUGAUGGAGCAACGCCGCGCGAGUGAAGAAGGUUUUCGGAUCGUAAAACUCUGUUGUUGGAGAAGAAUGUAUCUGAUAGUAACUGAUCAGGUAGUGACGGUAUCCAACCAGAAAGCCACGGCUAACUACGUGCCAGCAGCCGCGGUAAUACGUAGGUGGCAAGCGUUGUCCGGAUUUAUUGGGC
rnacentral:rRNA from 1 species